rnacentral:lncRNA from 1 species
AAAAAAAACCUCAAUGAAGAGAGAGAAAUUCUGUGCAGGACUGGGGUCAAUUUACGACAAAUACUUUAUAGCCAGGCUUGAAUCCUAUGCAGGCAGAGGAAAUUUUUAAGGAGUUGCUUAUAGUUUCACUCCCAUGAUAAUGGGUACAUACUGCACACUUUUCUCAGAUAGGCUUGAUAAAAUGAUGGAAAUAUCUGAGAAAUAUUUGAGAUGACUUCUAAUAUAGAUUGGAAAGGGAUAGAGAACAGUAGAACCACAGAGCUUCAGAGAUAGAAGAAAAAAAAUUAGCUUAUUUUGUUUUCUCUGCUGUGGCAUUUGCUUGCUAACUUCAAGCAACUUAAUCAGCUCUGAAGUAGCUCCAAAAUAGUCUCAUAGCAAAACUAAAAUAGAAAUAAGUUUAAAUUAGAAUUAUGUCUCACAAGGCAAUAUGUACUUGAAUAAUCUAGAAAUAAAGUAAACAAGAACUUGUAGAUAGCUCUGUUGUCAUAUUGCUUUUUAGAUCCUUCUGGCAGCAAGGCAGAAGAAAUGUGCUUACUUCAUACUAUGCAGAAGACCCUGGAAACUCAGAUUCACCACCUGGUGGAUGAAGCUCUCAGCACCUAUAAAGAGCUACAGUAUGGCCACGUCUGUCUAACUGAGCCAGAAUGUGACAAGUCCUUGUGCAGUUUCUCCAGCCUGUAGACGUUACUGGAGUGAAUGGAAAGUCUCUGGGCACUUCUCAAGAAGGACUGCAACCUGUGAACUUGGACCUCAAACAACAAAUGUGCAGAGCUCACAUGAACUUGAAGUUGCCCUUUUUUUUUGUGACAUCUAUAAACAUUUAUGAAGCUUUGUUUUUAUUCCAGUAAAUCUAUGUUGUUAUUUUGGGUCUUUUAAUAGUGUCUAUUUAUAUCGUGAAAUCAUGACAACUGCGUUGUCUUUCUGGAAAGCCACAGGUCAAGGGUCUGCUAAGCAAAUACUAACACAUGUGAGUAACUUCCCUCAUAUGAAUAAUUAGACUGAUCUUAACAGAGUGGUGUUUUUAGGAUCAAGCUCCCAAUAUUUUGACAUACUUCCUGAAAUGUUUUGUAGAUAGGAGCUGUUGACUUUCAUAUGGUGAAAAAAUAAUUUGAACGCCAAAAAGCCCCUCCAAAAGAAGGGAACAUAUUUGGGUCAUCAGGUCUUAACAAUUACAGUUUCACGUGUUAGCUUUCUUUUCCUAGGUACAAGAAGUGUUGGAAGAACAUUUACUCAGAAGAGAUCAAGUAGAAUUACUGUCAAAGGUUUGUGUAAGUUAGCAUAUAUAAUGCUUCCCCUGGUUGUAUGCAAAAACAUUUGGAGAUCUCUGUAUUUUUUUCCCCUCAUCUUCUAGGAAAAAUGAUGGAAUUAAUUACUACAACUGGGAUAUAUUAAAUUUUAUAACUUAUAUCAUGUACCUUUGCCAUGAAGAAAUAGAAAAAUGUAUACAUGGGAACAUCCCUUUAAUGAUAAGAACUACAAAAAUUCAUGCUUCCUAUGAUAAAUAUUAUUCUGUAUUUAAGGCUAUGCCUGGAUAUACUUCCUCUGUAGUGCAUGUGUUAUGAAAGUAAACAGAAUUCUGAGACAGAAUUCUGAUCAUACAAAGUGUACAUAAACUUGAAGUUGUGUGGAAUAGGCAUCUUUCCUUAAAAAGAGAAUUUCCUCAUCAUCUACUGAGAUAUUAAAUUGAUUCUUGGAAAGGUUUUUGUGAAUACACUAAUCCAUUUUUUCCUGCCAUUUGCACAGAUUCUUGGUGUGUUAGAAUGCAAUUCCAGUAAAAACUUCUCUCAGAAAAGCAUGUCAGGAACAAAUUAGCUCUUUACUCUUUAUUGAAAUAUAUUCAAGGGUUUGCCAUGUUGUCUUCUGUACCUUAUUCUCAAAAUAAAUAUUUUAUACUUAUGCUUAACUGCUGCUAGUAAAUUGCAGAAAUUUUUUGCUUAAGUUCAUUCUUGCAAUAAAGGUGGAAAAGUUUUGUAAUAGCUUGAGUGCAAAUUAAUAUCUAUGAAUGUCUGUAUCUUUUUCAUUUUUAACCUGAUAUUAAUUAUUUCCUUUAUUUUACCUUGCUAAAAUAUCCUGCUUGAAAUAUUUCUUUAAGUAAAAUUCCACAAAGCUUGCAAAGAACCUGCAGUCCAGGUAGCAUACCAUUCCUGAUGGCAGAAAGAGCAUACUGUCCAUUAAUGUUGAGUCCUGUGCGUGGUCUGUCCGGUGAUACACAAUGUCAUUUAAGACAUUUCAUCAUUCUCUGCUUGAGCACUCUUCUCUAAUCUGAUGAGGUACCCUGGGAAGAAACAAUGAUAGCCAAGGCAUUAAAAUGUAAUCAAGAUAUGCAAAUUCAUGUCUAAAUGUGAUUUGCUUGGAAAGAGAAAUUAAUCUAGGCAUGGCCAAAUAAACAGUGUGUAAUAUGGAUAAUUAAUCACCAAAUUAGCAGCUGUAGUCCCAUGAGAAGAUUAUGUAAAUGAAAAAGGCCCCCAUCUACGGUCCCAAUUAGACUACUUAAUACCAAACUCUAAACAAAACACAGCCCCUGGGAGCGCCAUAAAAUAAGGAAGUGAGUCAGUCUGAGUGGGUCAUUCUCCAAGUUUCACAAGCACGUUUCAUAACUACGUUAUUUUUCCUGAUUUACAGAAAGUAAUUUAUCAGUCAGAUAUAUCAGGCUCACUGAACAACUUGUAACCUUGAAAUUCCACUGAAGUUGCUUUACACAAGCCUAAACUUCUGUGCAUACAACCUAAAUCAGCAGUUAAAGAAGACAGGUACUAGAGUGCAAGUCCUUAAUCCCAGGGCCCAGAGUAAUAGGGAUCAAUACUGCAGGUAAAGGUGAGAGCUCCAGACAUAUGCUAGGUGCCCUCUGUGUAUUUGGAAAUUAUAUCCAGCAGUUUCAAUUACUGCUUUACACUUACAUUUCCAUAACAGAUCAGUCCUAUCUUGUUUCAGAAAAUGGUAUUUUCUCCAUAUUUCCAAGUACAAACCUUCCUGAAGUAAGUACUUUCCACUGGUUAACCAAAUUGAGGAUACCUUAUGUGAAUUAGGCUUGGGUAUGGUACUACCUGGCUCAUGACAGCAGAUAGUUUUCCCUGAGGCUGUGCAUCACACUAAGACCAGGACCCUAUCUGGAAUACAUAAAAUAUUAUCAAGUUAAGGAACUUGACCCAUAGGUGAAGGGAUCUAUUCAGCAUUUGAUGUACAGCUUCCUUGAGACACUUCAGUAGGUCUGAUAGAUUCAGCUUAACACUGACUUGACACAGAUGGAAAUAUGUUGACUUUUCUGGACACAAUUUUAGAUGUUUUUUGAUGAAAAAAUAAUAAUCUGACUCUUGUAUUCAUUUACAGUCAAAGCAAUUGUUCAAAUAUCAAAGUUGGCAAGGGAUUUGAAUUUCCAUCUUCUGAUGAACUUUACAUCAUUAAUUCCAUGGAAAGGAUCUUUGUUCAGUGUAGGACAGAAACUGCACAGUGCAUUCUCAGCCAAGAAAAGCAGAGCUUCGCACUUGUGAUCUCUGGUUAUCUGUUACUAUAAGCUUUUGAAGGUGGAAGAUACCCCUGAAAAUACAACACUGUUGCAAACUAACUUAAGGUAGAACUGAUCUGAACAGUCACUGGGAGAGAAUACAAACUCCAUUCGUGGAAAAGAGGAGUUUCCUUUUUUUCUGAAAUGCUUGUGUUGGUCUUUCGAUGCUCUGGACUCCAAAUGACUUUCUACUUACUCUACAUCUGUUCAGAAUAAACUGCACUCAUUUUAUUUAUUUAUUUUUUACUCCUUGUGAAGCUAUUUGUGGAUUCUUUAGGUAAGGUUUUCAAAUAACUUCUUUGUACAGCUAUGUAACACUUGUUAUAUAGCUCCUGUGCAAGGCUUCCAAAGCUGCACAGUAACAAGGUUAGUACAGAAUAUUUUACUCUUCUCACAGUUAACUGACAUACUGAGUGCAGUAGUUUCAUGUUGUGUUAUCAGUACAAUGAGGUAUAUUCCUUUUGCAAACUACAGCAUGAGUUUUCUUGCUAAUGCCGAUUUUGUUUUUGGAUCUGAGCAAAAGUGAAUCAUGAAUAUAUCCAGAGUUAUCUGAGUUAUCUGAGAGACCUCAGUGAGGCCUUUCAGUACUUAAAAGGAGCUUAUAAACAGGAGGGAAAAUGGCUUCUACACAGCCUAAUGGUGAUAGGAUAAGGGGGAAGAGGGGAGUUUUAGAUCAGAUACGGGAAGGAAGAUCUUUCCUCAGAGGGUCAUGAGGACCUGGCACAGGCUACCCAGAGAGGCUGUGGGUCGCCAUCACUGGUGGUGUUCAAGAUCACAUUAGAUGGGGCACUGGGCAGCCUGAGCUGGUGGUUGGCAGCCCUGCCCAUGGCAGGGAGUUGGAGCUAGAUAAUCUUUAAGAUCCCCUCAGAUGCAAGCCAUUCUGUGUUACUUUACAUGAUGGGCCAAGUUCUGCUCUCUAUUACAACUGGCUUAAAUCCAGAAGAAUCCUUUUAGUAAGUGAGUAUAUCCUGCCACUUUGAAAGAGAACCAUUAAUAUGCCAGUUAUACAAAGAACAACAGUUGAUCAAACAGAAUUAUUGCCUUUUAUAUAACUCUUUGUUAUAAUUCAGCAAAAAGUAAUUUCAAAUGAAACACAAAAACAAUAACAAGAACACAAGGUAAGAGCAUCCACAUGGAAACAGAGUAGAUUAACUGGUAAGACAAAGAUAUUGGCAGAAUUUUCUUAAAUUAUUAUUAGGAGGAUAACAUUACCCUGUACAUUUGAAUAGUGAUUUGAGGGAAAACAUUCCUCUCCAGGGACACAUUUUAAUUAAGAUAAAAUUGUUAGAGUGCUCUGAAAUUCUUGGAUUAGCAAUCAUUGUAACAGUGUUAUUUUUCUGCUAAUAGCGUAUACAAGUUUAGAAAAGUCAAAUAAUAAUUGCUUUUGUAAAGAGAAACACACUACCUUGCCAAAAGUACAAAGUGAAGUAGGAGUUAAUGGUUUGUUUUAUAUAGUAAAAAUGUCAGCAGGAAUGAGAACACAUGAGGAGGAACACAUUUCCAAACAAUCUGAUUACUGAUUCUGAAUCUUAUUACUAAUGCACAUUGAACAUUUUCAUCCUGCUAGUGCUUCCAUUUUAAGGUAAUUAAGCAUCAGUGUUGGUAGAAGAAGAUUGGACCUGAUGCCAUAUCGGGAAUAGAUUUAAUGGGAAAAUGGACAGUGAAAAAGUGAUGAUUUAUUUGUAAUGGUAGAUGCUUCAUCACUUAUUACUUAUUUAGAUGACCUUCACAGUCCCAUAGUAUUUUCCCUUUUCUAUGCACCCCAUCCUGUCCUGAAUCCUGUAUGCUCCUAAAAGAGGAGAAGCAAAUACUGCUGUUGAGGUGCCUGAUUCUGAAGAUAUUCACUCAUGUUUGCUAGGUCUAAUUUGUGAGGUCUUGCUUGAAUGUGGAAUGAGCACAAGGCAGGCCACUGGAUUGUUAUUACAAAUCUGUGUAUCCCUCGCAGAAUGCUUAUUAUCAAGUAUCCUGAGGCAAAAAAAAAGAAAAGAAAAGAAAAGAAAAGAAAAGAAAAGAAAAGAAAAGAAAAGAAAAGAAAAGAAAAGAAAAGACAAAUUUUUUCUUGUUGUUUCACUUUUUUUCACUUGAUUUACUUGGAAUUUGAGAUUAGUGCUGAAAGUGACAUUUUGUUUUGCCUGAAAUACACUGAAUAAUCACCACUGCUCUCACAGAAGUUAAGAAAGCCAUGCUUGAGUCAUUAUUUAAAGUGGACAGCUUUUAUAUUUUGGAUUUCUUCUUCCAAAGAAAUCAAGUUAAUGAUUGGUUGCUUAAACUGGAAGUCUAAGAAAACAACCCAGGGAGUAAUUGCUAAUCUCCAUUAAGCAAGAAGAACAACAGGAAUCUAGCAUCUUCAUCUCAGGAGCUGGCCUAGCAGGCUCACAGGCUGACAGAGGCAGAAAAUGUCAGCCACUCUUCUCUUGGUGUCCCAACACUCCACAGAGAUGUGAAUCUCAAUUACUGCAAUUCUGAGCAUUAACAUCUUUGUAAAUGUAGUUUUUAAUGUUACAUUUCAUUAUUUUUCCCAAUCUACUGGCCUAUCCUGUUAAAGGAAUUAAACAUGUUGUUUAUGUCAACAUUUUACAGAAUCCCCCUCUCCCCACCUCACCAAAAAAAAAAAAAAAAAAAGGAAUUGUAAUCUCAGAUUCAAAUUAAAAAAUACUUGAAAUGUGAUUGAUUUUUUUUUUC